AUUUGAUGAUGAGGACAGCUUGCACACAGUUUCUUAAAUCACUCCCAAUAUCAUACAAGCUCUCUUCAUUGUAUUGUCGGAUGUCUCAAAUUUUUUUUCUUAUAUU